CACACACUACACUCUUAACAUACACACUCUGGAUCCCCUAUACACACACUAGAUUCCUUGUAAGCAAACACAUACUACACCCCUAAACAUACACUACAUCACCUAUAUACACACACACACACACACACUAUAGCCUGUAUGCACACACUUGCUAUAUCCCCUAUACACAUUCUCUACAGCCCCUAGCCACAUAUGCAUCACAUUACACCACAAACACAACAUGAC